rnacentral:rRNA from 1 species
GUACACUCCUACGGGAGGCAGCAGUGGGGAAUAUUGGACAAUGGGCGCAAGCCUGAUCCAGCCAUGCCGCGUGAGUGAUGAAGGCCCUAGGGUUGUAAAGCUCUUUCACCGGUGAAGAUAAUGACGGUAACCGGAGAAGAAGCCCCGGCUAACUUCGUGCCAGCAGCCGCGGUAAUACGAAGGGGGCUAGCGUUGUUCGGAUUUACUGGGCGUAAAGCGCACUUAGGCGGACUAUUAAGUCAGGGGUGAAAUCCCGGGGCUCAACCCCGGAACUGCCUUUGAUACUGGUAGUCUUGAGUUCGAGAGAGGUGAGUGGAAUUCCGAGUGUAGAGGUGAAAUUCGUAGAUAUUCGGAGGAACACCAGUGGCGAAGGCGGCUCACUGGCUCGAUACUGACGCUGAGGUGCGAAAGCGUGGGGAGCAAACAGGAUUAGAUACCCUAGUAGUCCCAUGAU